UGAAAGUGUGACGUCAUGCUGAGAGCCUA
rnacentral:piRNA from 1 species